GGGGAAUUAGCUCAAAUGGUAGGCUUUCGCUUAGCAUGUGAGAGGUUUUCAGCGGGAUCGAUGCCCGCAUUCUCCA
rnacentral:tRNA from 1 species